rnacentral:lncRNA from 12 species
AUCUUGAAAGGUUCAUUGCCCAGGCACCAGUCCUAGAGUGACACAAAGGUGCAGAGGAGAAGGAGGAGGAGGAUGAUGACUCUUUAACCCUUGUUUACAAAGCCUGAUGCCCCAGUGAAGUGCGGAUGAUGACUCUUUAACUCCUGUUUACAAAGCCUGAUGCCCCAGUGAAGUGCACUGGGUGCAUCCCUGCCCAUCCCACAUGGACACUGCACUGGUGGAGAACUUUCCUUCCCAUCCUGAGUGGAGUCUCUGGUAGCAACGCCCAGUUGCAAUAAAUCUGAACAUAAGGUUGCAAG